CCUACGGGCGGCAGCAGUGGGGAGUAUUGCACAAUGGGGGAAACCCUGAUGCAGCGACGCCGCGUGAGUGAAGAAGUAUUUCGGUACGUAAAGCUCUAUCAGCAGGGAAGAAAAUGACGGUACCUGACUAAGAAGCCCCGGCUAACUACGUGCCAGCAGCCGCGGUAAUACGUAGGGGGCAAGCGUUAUCCGGAUUUACUGGGUGUAAAGGGAGCGUAGACGGCAGCGCAAGUCUGGAGUGAAAUCCCAUGGCUUAACCAUGGAACUGCUUUGGAAACUGUGCAGCUAGAGUGCAGGAGAGGUAAGCGGAAUUCCUAGUGUAGCGGUGAAAUGCGUAGAUAUUAGGAGGAACACCAGUGGCGAAGGCGGCUUACUGGACUGUAACUGACGUUGAGGCUCGAAAGCGUGGGGAGCAAACAGGAUUAGAUACCCCAGUAGUC
rnacentral:rRNA from 1 species